rnacentral:misc_RNA from 1 species
UGUUCCGUGUUCCUAGGCCAAUUUUUCAUAUCAUAAUUAUUUCCGUCUAUUAUAUAUCGCGCUAGUGAUAUGAAAUCCAAUGUUGCAUUAAGCAGUUUUUUUGUUUAAUUUUUCAUAGCUUUUUGCAUAUACAUUUAAAAUUCCUCCUAAUCAUUUUAAUAUAUCAUCAUUUUAUAAAACCAUUAUAACAUUUAUGAUUUCUAUUUAUACUUUUUUAUGAAAGAAAGCAAAUUAAAUAAGAUGACUGUUUUGUGCCAUGGCUGGCGAAAGUUGCAUAAUAUUAUAUUAAAGGCUGUGUGUUGAUGUAUACAUGUCAAAUGUGUAUUUGAAUGUUUAUAAAAGAGUGCUUGAAAUGAAUUAUUUACCUUUAUUAUUUAUCAUCCUAACCAAUAUGAAUUCAUAUGUUUUGUAUAAGAAAUAGAUAAAAUAAAAAUUUGUAGC